ensembl:snoRNA
GGUGAGGUCUAUCACUAUAGGACUUGUAGCUGCACAUUGUUGGAAAUGCAUCAUAGAGCAAAUCUCUGGUUUCUUUUUCCUCUCAAGACUAUUAGGUCUGUGAGAAGGAACUGGAAGACAAUU